rnacentral:rRNA from 1 species
GCUGGAGAAGGUCCCAAGGGUUCGGCUGUUCGCCGAUUAAAGUGGUACGUGAGCUGGGUUCAAAACGUCGUGAGACAGUUUGGUCCCUAUCUGCCGUGGGUGUAGGAAUAUUGAAAGGAUUUGUCCCUAGUACGAGAGGACCGGGAUGAACGUAUCUCUGGUGGAUCGGUUGUCGCGCCAGCGGCAUAGCCGAGUAGCUAAAAUACGGAAAAGAUAAACGCUGAAAGCAUCUAAGCGUGAAACUUACCUUGAAACAAGUAUUCCCCGAGAGUCGUGAUAGACCAUCACGUUGAUAGGCCGGAUGUGGAAGCGCCGCGAGGCGUGUAGCUUACCGGUACUAAUAACUCGAUAGGCUUGAUCCU